rnacentral:rRNA from 1 species
UACGUAGGGUCCGAGCGUUGUCCGGAAUUACUGGGCGUAAAGAGCUCGUAGGUGGUUUGUCGCGUUGUUCGUGAAAACUCACAGCUCAACUGUGGGCGUGCGGGCGAUACGGGCAGACUAGAGUACUGCAGGGGGAGACUGGAAUUCCUGGUGUAGCGGUGGAAUGCGCAGAUAUCAGGAAGAACACCCGUGGCGAAGGCGGCUCUCUGGAACGCAACUGACGCUGAGACGCGAAAGCGUGGGGAGCAAACAGG